rnacentral:rRNA from 1 species
CUACGGGGGGCUGCAGUAGGGAAUAUUGCACAAUGGAGGAAACUCUGAUGCAGCGACGCCGCGUGAGUGAUGAAGGACUUCGGUUCGUAAAGCUCUGUCGUAUGGGAAUAAGAAAGUGAAUGUACCAUGCAAGAAAGGAUCGGCUAACUUCGUGCCAGCAGCCGCGGUAAGACGAGGGAUCCUAGCGUUGUUCGGAAUCAUUGGGCGUAAAGCGGAUGUAGGUGGCUUGGUAAGUCAGGUGUGAAAGCCCAGAGCUCAACUCUGGAAGUGCAUUUGAUACUGCGAAGCUUGAGUGUGGAAGAGGUAAGUAGAAUACCUGGUGUAGUGGUGAGAUACGUAGAUAUCAGGUGGAAUACCGGAGGCGAAGGCGGCUUACUGGUCCAACACUGACACUGAGAUCCGAAAGCGUGGGGAUCAAACAGGAUUAGAUACCCCUGUAGUC